UACAGAGGGGGCCAGCGUUAUUCGGAAUUAUUGGGCGUAAAGGCGCGUAGGCGGCCAUGCGUGUCUUCCGUGAAAUCCCUCGGCUUAACUGAGGACGUGCGGAAGAAACUGCAAGGCUCGAGUCCGGGAGAGGGGGGGGGUGGAAUUCCCAGUGUAGCGGUGAAAUGCGUAGAUAUUGGGAGGAACACCGGUGGCGAAGGCGGCCCCCUGGACCGGUACUGGACGCUGAGGCGCG
rnacentral:rRNA from 1 species